UACGUAGGGUGCAGGCGUUAAUCGGAAUUACUGGGCGUAAAGCGUGCGCAGGCGGUUUGCUAAGGCAGGUGUGAAAUCCCCGGGCUUAACCUGGGAACUGCGCUUGUAACUGGCAAGCUUGAGUGUGGCAGAGGGGGGUGGAAUUCCACGUGUAGCAGUGAAAUGCGUAGAGAUGUGGAGGAACACCGAUGGCGAAGGCAGCCCCCUGGGCUAACACUGACGCUCAUGCACGAAAGCGUGGGGAGCAAACAGG
rnacentral:rRNA from 1 species